rnacentral:rRNA from 1 species
ACGGGUGAGUAAUACAUCGGAACGUGCCCAAGAGUGGGGGAUAACGGAGCGAAAGCUUUGCUAAUACCGCAUACGAUCUACGGAUGAAAGCAGGGGACCGCAAGGCCUUGCGCUCAUGGAGCGGCCGAUGGCAGAUUAGGUAGUUGGUGGGAUAAAAGCUUACCAAGCCGACGAUCUGUAGCUGGUCUGAGAGGACGACCAGCCACACUGGGACUGAGACACGGCCCAGACUCCUACGGGAGGCAGCAGUGGGGAAUUUUGGACAAUGGGCGCAAGCCUGAUCCAGCCAUGCCGCGUGCAGGAUGAAGGCCUUCGGGUUGUAAACUGCUUUUGUACGGAACGAAAAGCCUCUUUCGAAUAAAGAGAGGUCAUGACGGUACCGUAAGAAUAAGCACCGGCUAACUACGUGCCAGCAGCCGCGGUAAUACGUAGGGUGCGAGCGUUAAUCGGAAUUACUGGGCGUAAAGCGUGCGCAGGCGGUAAUGUAAGACAGAUGUGAAAUCCCCGGGCUCAACCUGGGAACUGCAUUUGUGACUGCAUUGCUGGAGUGCGGCAGAGGGGGAUGGAAUUCCGCGUGUAGCAGUGA